GAUGAACGCUGGCGGCGUGCCUAAUACAUGCAAGUCGAGCGAACCACUUCGGUGGUGAGCGGCGAACGGGUGAGUAACACGUAGGCGAUCUGCACAUCAGACGGGGACAACGAUUGGAAACCAUCGCUACUACCGGAUAGGACGAAGGUUUAAAGGUGCUUCUGGCACCGCUGAUGGAUGAGCCUGCGGCGCAUUAGCUAGUUGGUAGGGUAAAGGCCUACCAAGGCGACGAUGAGUAGCCGACCUGAGAGGGUGACAGGCCACACCGGGCCAGAGACACGGCCCAGACUCCCACGGGAGGCAGCAGUAGGGAAUAUUCGGGAAUGGGCGAAAGCCUGACUGAGCAACGCCGCGUGAAUGAUGAAGGCCUUCGGGUUGUAAAAUUCUGUUAUAAGGGAAGAACGACUUUAGUAGGAAAUGGCUAGAGUGUGACGGUACCUUAGGAGAAAGCCACGGCUAACUACGUGCCAGCCGCCGCUGUAAGAC
rnacentral:rRNA from 1 species